AGAGUUUGAUCCUGGCUCAGGACGAACGCUGGCGGCGUGCCUAAUACAUGCAAGUCGAGCGGACGAAUUUUUGGUGCUUGCACCGAAUUUUCGUUAGCGGCGGACGGGUGAGUAACACGUGGGUAACCUACCUUAUAGAUUGGGAUAACUCCGGGAAACCGGGGCUAAUACCGAAUAAUACUUUUAAACACAUGUUUUGAAGUUGAAAGACGGUUUUGCUGUCACUAUAGGAUGGACCCGCGGCGCAUUAGCUAGUUGGUGAGGUAACGGCUCACCAAGGCAACGAUGCGUAGCCGACCUGAGAGGGUGAUCGGCCACACUGGGACUGAGACACGGCCCAGACUCCUACGGGAGGCAGCAGUAGGGAAUCUUCCACAAUGGACGAAAGUCUGAUGGAGCAACGCCGCGUGAGUGAAGAAGGAUUUCGGUUCGUAAAACUCUGUUGCAAGGGAAGAACAAGUAGCGUAGUAACUGGCGCUACCUUGACGGUACCUUGUUAGAAAGCCACGGCUAACUACGUGCCAGCAGCCGCGGUAAUACGUAGGGGGCAAGCGUUGUCCGGAAUGACUGGGCGUAGAGGGCGUGUAGGCGGCCGAUUAAGUCUGGAGUGAAAGUCCUGCAUUCAAUGUGGGAAUUGCUUUGGAGACUGGUUGGCUAGAGUGCGGAAGAGGUAAGUGGAAUUCCCAGUGUAGCGGUGAAAUGCGCAGAGAUUGGGAGGAACACCAGUGGCGAAGGCGACUUACUGGGCCGUAACUGACGCUGAGGCGCGAAAGCGUGGGGAGCGAACAGGAUUAGAUACCCUGGUAGUCCAUGCCGUAAACGUUGGGCACUAGGUGUGGGGGACAUUCCACGUUUUCCGCGCCGUAGCUAACGCAUUAAGUGCCCCGCCUGGGGAGUACGGCCGCAAGGCUAAAACUCAAAGGAAUUGACGGGGGCCCGCACAAGCGGCGGAGCAUGCGGAUUAAUUCGAUGCAACGCGAAGAACCUUACCAAGGCUUGACAUGAACCGGAAAGGCCUGGAAACAGGUCCCCCACUUGUGGCCGGUUUACAGGUGGUGCAUGGUUGUCGUCAGCUCGUGUCGUGAGAUGUUGGGUUAAGUCCCGCAACGAGCGCAACCCUCGUUCUAUGUUGCCAGCGGGUUAUGCCGGGGACUCAUAGGAGACUGCCGGGGUCAACUCGGAGGAAGGUGGGGACGACGUCAAAUCAUCAUGCCCCUUAUGUCUUGGGCUUCACGCAUGCUACAAUGGCCGGUACAAAGGGUUGCGAUACUGUGAGGUGGAGCUAAUCCCAAAAAGCCGGUCUCAGUUCGGAUUGAGGUCUGCAACUCGACCUCAUGAAGUUGGAGUCGCUAGUAAUCGCAGAUCAGCAACGCUGCGGUGAAUACGUUCCCGGGCCUUGCACUCACCGCCCGUCA
rnacentral:rRNA from 1 species